rnacentral:rRNA from 1 species
AAUUACCCACUCCCAGCACGGGGAGGUAGUGACGAAAAAUAACGAUACGGGACUCAUCCGAGGCCCCGUAAUCGGAAUGAGUACAAUUUAAAACUUUUUCCGAGGAUCAAUUGGAGGGUAAGUCUGGUGCCAGCAGCCGCGGUAAUUCCAGCUCCAAUAGCGUAUAUUAAAGUUGUUGCGGUUAAAAAGCUCGUAGUCGAAUCUGUGUCCCGCGCCGCUGGUUCAUCGCUCGCGGUGUUCAACUGGCGUGUUUCGCGGGACGUCCUGCCGGUGGGCGCUCGUAUCGUUUCGGCGGUGCGUGGCCCAGCUCGUAGCCGUCUCGCGCGGUUGCGAAUCUCAUCGCGGUGCUCUUUAUUGAGUGUCGAGGUGGGCCGGCACGUUUACUUUGAACAAAUUAGAGUGCUUAAAGCAGGCCAAUUUUGCCUGAAUAUUGUGUGCAUGGAAUAAUGGAAUAGGACCUCGGUUCUAUUUUGUUGGUUUUCGGAACCCCGAGGUAAUGAUUAAUAGGAACGGAUGGGGGCAUUCGUAUUGCGACGUUAGAGGUGAAAUUCUUGGAUCGUCGCAAGACGGACAGAAGCGAAAGCAUUUGCCAAAAACGCUUUCAUUGAUCAAGAACGAAAGUUAGAGGUUCGAAGGCGAUCAGAUACCGCCCUAGUUCUAACCAUAAACGAUGCCAGCUAGCGAUCCGCCGACGUUCCUCCGAUGACUCGGCGGGCAGCUUNCGGGAAACCAAAGCUUUUGGGUUCCGGGGGAAGUAUGGUUGCAAAGCUGAAACUUAAAGGAAUUGACGGAAGGGCACCACCAGGAGUGGAGCCUGCGGCUUAAUUUGACUCAACACGGGACACCUCACCAGGCCCGGACACCGGAAGGAUUGACAGAUUGAUAGCUCUUUCUUGAUUCGGUGGGUGGUGGUGCAUGGCCGUU